rnacentral:rRNA from 1 species
AUUGAACGCUGGCGGAAUGCUUUACACAUGCAAGUCGAACGGCAGCACGGGGGCAGCCCUGGUGGCGAGUGGCGAACGGGUGAGUAAUACAUUGGAACGUGCCCGGUCGUGGGGGAUAACGUAGCGAAAGUUACGCUAAUACCGCAUACGAUCUGAGGAUGAAAGCGGGGGACCUUCGGGCCUCGCGCGAUCGGAGCGGCCGAUGUCAGAUUAGGUAGUUGGUGGGGUAAAGGCCUACCAAGCCGACGAUCUGUAGCUGGUCUGAGAGGACGACCAGCCACACUGGGACUGAGACGCGGCCCAGACUCCUACGGGAGGCAGCAGUGGGGAAUUUUGGACAAUGGGCGCAAGCCUGAUCCAGCCAUUCCGCGUGCAGGACGAAGGCCUUCGGGUUGUAAACUGCUUUUGUACGGAACGAAAAGGCUCUGGCUAAUACCUGGGGCUCAUGACGGUACCGUAAGAAUAAGCACCGGCUAACUACGUG